rnacentral:rRNA from 1 species
UGGGGAAUAUUGGACAAUGGGCGAAAGCCUGAUCCAGCAACGCCGCGUGAGGGAUGACGGCCUUCGGGUUGGUAAACCUCUUUCAGCAGGGACGAAGCGCAAGUGACGGUACCUGCAGAAGAAGCACCGGCCAACUACGUGCCAGCAGCCGCGGUAAUACGUAGGGUGCGAGCGUUGUCCGGAAUUAUUGGGCGUAAAGGGCUCGUAGGCGGUUUGUCGCGUCGGGAGUGAAAACUCAGGGCUUAACCCUGAGCCUGCUUCCGAUACGGGCAGACUAGAGGUAUGCAGGGGAGAACGGAAUUCCUGGUGUAGCGGUGAAAUGCGCAGAUAUCAGGAGGAACACCGGUGGCGAAGGCGGUUCUCUGGGCAUUACCUGACGCUGAGGAGCGAAAGUGUGGGGAGCGAACAGGAUUAGAUACCCUGGUAGUCCACACCGUAAACGUUGGGCGCUAGGUGUGGGACUCAUUCCACGAGUUCCGUGCCGCAGCUAACGCAUU